AGCUUGCUGCUUCGCUGACGAGUGGCGGACGGGUGAGUAAUGUCUGGGAAACUGCCUGAUGGAGGGGGAUAACUACUGGAAACGGUAGCUAAUACCGCAUAACGUCGCAAGACCAAAGAGGGGGACCUUCGGGCCUCUUGCCAUCGGAUGUGCCCAGAUGGGAUUAGCUAGUAGGUGGGGUAACGGCUCACCUAGGCGACGAUCCCUAGCUGGUCUGAGAGGAUGACCAGCCACACUGGAACUGAGACACGGUCCAGACUCCUACGGGAGGCAGCAGUGGGGAAUAUUGCACAAUGGGCGCAAGCCUGAUGCAGCCAUGCCGCGUGUAUGAAGAAGGCCUUCGGGUUGUAAAGUACUUUCAGCGGGGAGGAAGGGAGUAAAGUUAAUACCUUUGCUCAUUGACGUUACCCGCAGAAGAAGCACCGGCUAACUCCGUGCCAGCAGCCGCGGUAAUACGGAGGGUGCAAGCGUUAAUCGGAAUUACUGGGCGUAAAGCGCACGCAGGCGGUUUGUUAAGUCAGAUGUGAAAUCCCCGGGCUCAACCUGGGAACUGCAUCUGAUACUGGCAAGCUUGAGUCUCGUAGAGGGGGGUAGAAUUCCAGGUGUAGCGGUGAAAUGCGU
rnacentral:rRNA from 1 species